UACGGAAGGCAGCAGUGGGGAAUAUUGCACAAUGGGCGAAAGCCUGAUGCAGCUAUGCCGCGUGUAUGAAGAAGGCCUUAGGGUUGUAAAGUACUUUCAUCGGGGAGGAAAAAACAAAACUAAUAAUUUUAUUUCUUGACGUUACCCGAAAAAGAAGCACCGGCUAACUCCGUGCCAGCAGCCGCGGUAAUACGGAGGGUGCUAGCGUUAAUCAGAAUUACUGGGCGUAAAGAGCACGUAGGUGGUUUUUUAAGUCAGAUGUGAAAUCCCUGGGCUUAACCUAGGAACUGCAUUUUGAAACUGAAAUACUAGAGUAUCGUAGAGGGAGGUAGAAUUCUAGGUGUAGCGGUGAAAUGCGUAGAUAUCUGGAGGAAUACCUGUGGCGAAAGCGGCCUCCUAAACGAAUACUGACACUGAGGUGCGAAAGCGUGGGGAGCAAAACAGGGAUUAGGAUA
rnacentral:rRNA from 1 species